AUUGAACGCUGGCGGCAGGCCUAACACAUGCAAGUCGAACGAGUGGCGGACGGGUGAGUAAUGUCUGGGAAACUGCCUGAUGGAGGGGGAUAACUACUGGAAACGGUAGCUAAUACCGCAUACCAUCGGAUGUGCCCAGAUGGGAUUAGCUAGUGGGUGGGGUAACGGCUCACCUAGGCGACGAGCCCUAGCUGGGCUGAGCGGAUGACCAGCCACACUGGAACUGAGGCACGGGCCAGACUCCUACGGGAGGCAGCAGUGGGGAAUAUUGCACAAUGGGGGCAAGCCUGAUGCAGCCAUGCCGGGUGGAUGAAGAAGGCCUUCGGGUUGUAAAGUACUUUCAGCGGGGAGGCGGUACCCGCAGAAGAAGGACCGGCUAACACCGUGCCAGCAGCCGCGGGAAUUC
rnacentral:rRNA from 1 species